rnacentral:rRNA from 1 species
UACGUAGGGAGCAAGCGUUGUCCGGAUUCACUGGGCGUAAAGGGUGCGCAGGCGGCUUUGUAAGUCAGAGGUGAAAUCUCACGGCUUAACCGUGAAACUGCCUUUGAUACUGCAGAUCUUGAGUUUGGGAGAGGUUGAUGGAAUUCCAGGUGUAGCGGUGAAAUGCGUAGAUAUCUGGAAGAACACCGGUGGCGAAGGCGGCAUUCUGGACCGACAUUGACGCUGAGGAGCGAAAGCCAGGGGAGCAAACGGG